CCUACGGGAGGCAGCAGUGAGGAAUAUUGGUCAAUGGGCGAGAGCCUGAACCAGCCAAGUCGCGUGAGGGAGUACUGCCCUAUGGGUUGUAAACCUCUUUUGUCGGGGAGCAAAAGCCGGACGUGUCCGGCUGUGAGAGUACCCGAAGAAAAAGCAUCGGCUAACUCCGUGCCAGCAGCCGCGGUAAUACGGAGGAUGCGAUCGUUAUCCGGAUUUAUUGGGUUUAAAGGGUGCGCAGGCGGAUUUUUAAGUCAGCGGUAAAAUCGUGGGGCUCAACCCCAUCCAGCCGUUGAAACUGGGGAUCUAGAGUGUGCGAGAGGUAUGCGGAAUGCGUGGUGUAGCGGUGAAAUGCAUAGAUAUCACGCAGAACCCCGAUUGCGAAGGCAGCAUACCGGUGCACAACUGACGCUCAGGCACGAAAGCGUGGGUAUCGAACAGGAUUAGAUACCCCAGUAGUC
rnacentral:rRNA from 1 species